AUCUAUUUUCAUUAAAGAGUUCAUUCAUGCUCAGGAUUUUGACGCAGUUCCUUUCAUGGCGGCCCAGGAUAGUAAGCAUGUUGAGAGAACUUUCUCAGCCACAACCGAAGAACAAGUUAAAAAAAACUGUAUGUGUUCGAGAAUAUACGACCCAGUUUGCGGAACAAAUAACAAAUCCUACUACAAUCCUUGUCAGUUGGAAUGUGAUAAUCGGAACGGCACGGUGUCUAUCCGACAUCAAGGAAACUGUAUACCAUUUUGAUACUACUAUGCAGACCAAGUCCCAGACUUUAAAAUUUUCUUCAUUUUUUUUUUAAAUAUUAUCUGUAUAUUAAAUUGUUUAAACUUAAUUAUAAUAAAAAAAUAAUUUAAUGCUUUACGUAAAUUGUCAUCAAGUUUUACGCACACAGUUAAGUAAUAUUUAUUUUUAUCUUUUGUUUGUAUAUCUGACUGAAAAAAAAAAAUAAUUAUGAAA